GGUCCUCAUUCAAAUGCACAUUCUAAGAUCUCAACUCCAGACCUGCUGAGUCACAAGCCCUGGGGUGGGGCCCAGGAAUCUGCAUUUUAAC
rnacentral:miRNA from 10 species